GUGCUUGCUUUGGCAGCAUGUAUCCUAAAAUUGGAGUGAUGCAGAGAAGAUUAGCAUGGCCCCGUAGAAGGAUGACAUGCAAAUCCGUAAAGCGUUCUAUAUUUUC
rnacentral:snRNA from 1 species